rnacentral:rRNA from 1 species
CGGUAAAAGCUCAAAUUUGAAAUCUGGCUCUUUUAGAGUCCGAAUUGUAAUUUGUAGAAGAUGCUUCGGGUGUGGUUCCGGUCUAAGUCCAUUGGAAGAUGGCAUCAUAGAGGGUGAGAAUCCCGU